rnacentral:rRNA from 1 species
AAUGAACGCUGGCGGCGCGCCUAAUACAUGCAAGUCGAGCGAGAAGACGUAGCAAUACGUUUGUAAAGCGGCGAACGGGUGAGGAAUACAUGGGUAACCUACCCUCGAGUGGGGAAUAACUAGCCGAAAGGUUAGCUAAUACCGCGUACGCUUCUUGGACUUCGGUUCAGGGAGGAAAGCGAUGCCGAGGGUAUCGCGCUCUUGGAUGGGCUCAUGUCCUAUCAGCUUGUUGGGAGGUAACGGCUCACCAAGGCUUCGACGGGUAGCUGGUCUGAGAGGACGAUCAGCCACACUGGCACUGCGACACGGGCCAGACUCCUACGGGAGGCAGCAGUAAGGAAUAUUGCGCAAUGGGCGAAAGCCUGACGCAGCGACGCCGCGUGGGGGAUGAAGGUCUUCGGAUUGUAAACCCCGUUUCGGAGGGAAGACAGAAUGGGGUAACCCAUUCGGACGGUACCUCCAGAAGCAGCCACGGCU